CGAACGCUGGCGGCAGGCCUAACACAUGCAAGUCGAACGAACCUUUCGGGGUUAGUGGCGGACGGGUGAGUAACACGUGGGAACGUGCCUUUAGGUUCGGAAUAACUCAGGGAAACUUGUGCUAAUACCGAAUGUGCCCUUCGGGGGAAAGAUUUAUCGCCUUUAGAGCGGCCCGCGUCUGAUUAGCUAGUUGGUUGAGGUAAUGGCUCACCAAGGCGACGAUCAGUAGCUGGUCUGAGAGGAUGAUCAGCCACAUUGGGACUGAGACACGGCCCAAACUCCUACGGGAGGCAGCAGUGGGGAAUCUUGCGCAAUGGGCGAAAGCCUGACGCAGCCAUGCCGCGUGAAUGAUGAAGGUCUUAGGAUUGUAAAAUUCUUUCACCGGGGACGAUAAUGACGGUACCCGGAGAAGAAGCCCCGGCUAACUUCGUG
rnacentral:rRNA from 1 species